UACGAAGGGGGCUAGCGUUGCUCGGAAUCACUGGGCGUAAAGCGCACGUAGGCGGAUUGUUAAGUCAGGGGUGAAAUCCUGGAGCUCAACUCCAGAACUGCCUUUGAUACUGGCGAUCUCGAGUCCGGGAGAGGUGAGUGGAACUCCGAGUGUAGAGGUGAAAUUCGUAGAUAUUCGGAAGAACACCGGUGGCGAAGGCGGCGACCUGGUCCUUGACUGACGCUGAGGCGCGAAAGCGUGGGGAGCAAACAGG
rnacentral:rRNA from 1 species